rnacentral:tRNA from 1 species
GUAGAAGUGUCCGAGUGGUUUAUGGAGCUGGUCUUGAAAACCAGUGAUUCCGCAAGGAACCGUGGGUUCGAAUCCCACCUUCUACG